UGCCGACGACACUGAACAGAAGUUCAUACAAGAUCUGUGCGACAUUCCGCUGACUCUAUGGUUGGGCGCCAAUGCCGAGAUCACUGAAGGCAGCAAGUGGACUGAUGGAUCCCCGUUCAUUUACAAAAACCUGAAAGCAGAUAACGCCAGUGACGCCACUGGCGGACGCUGCCUUUCCUUGCUCACUGCCGACG